CGCUCAAGGGUUUGAUGAAGACAGUUCAUAUUUCAAAUAGAUUGCUGAACCCUUAAGGUGGAGGAGAUAUUUAGGAAGGCUAUUCCUGGACUGAGCGGGGAAGAAACAAGUAGAGUGUGAUAAAUUGAAGGUGCAGGAGAAAGAUGAAGAGGCACGAUCCUAAGAGGACUGGAGGAGGCUCAGAUGAAAGGCAGCAAUGCAGCUAAAAUGUUCCCACAAACGUUCAGGUACAGGGGAGCUGUCAAGAUCAGCGUGCCACGGAGGCAAAACAAGGAACUUGGAAGAGCCAUAAACUGCACACCACCCCCUCCUCAAAUAACCCCAGGCUUAGCAAAGGAGCCUCUGCAAGCAGAGAUGGAGUUUGUAAGGAUUAAAUUUCCUCCUCCCACAAGCCCCCAAUUGCAAAAAGCCAAACUUUCUGGGUUCUUCCUACCAAACGACUCCCUUCUGACCACCAGAGGUCAGGCUGCAGUUAGGAACAGGCAGUAGGUCCCCAAAGGAGAGAUCUGACCUAGUUCCUCCCAGGCCCUCCGGGGCACGUCUGGAGCUCCCCCAGACUCACCCAAGCUCGCCCAGCAGGGGCCUGUGGAUUCCUUUCUCCUCUGUAAUGGACAGGGGCAGGCACACCAGAAGCUGCCUGGAGUGUGAUAAACCGAAGGUACGAAGAAAGAUGAAGAGACAACAUUUAAGAGGGCUGGAGGAGGCGCAGCGGAGGAGAAUGAGCCUCCUGAAUGAGUCAUCCCCCACUUCAACUUAUUAGGUUUGAGAACCACUCACCUAAGAAUCCCGCGAAGCAGGGAGCUGAUUAAAAAGCAGAUUUGGCUGGGCACGGUGGCUCACGCCUGUAAUCUCAGCACUUUGGGAGGCCGAGACGGGUGGAUCACGAGGUCGGGAGAUCGAGACCAUCCUGGCUAACACGGUGAAACCCCAUCUCUACUAAAAAUACAAAAAAAUUGGCCAGGCGUGGCGGCGGGCGCCUGUAGCUCCAGCUACUCGGGAGGCUGAGGCAGGAGAAUGGCGUGAACCCGGGAGGCGGAGCUUGCAG
rnacentral:lncRNA from 1 species